rnacentral:misc_RNA from 1 species
UGCGUCCAUCAUAGCAGAGACAUGUUGGUGGUUGGCAGCACAUUGCCAUUCAAAUUUUGAAAGCAGUGCUAAUCAGUCUAUUUUAUUGUUGGUUCGUGCGGUGUUUAAAUAUUUUAUCAAAUUGAAUCGAAAAGGCAACAAUAGUUGUGAUAAAAGAUUGAAUUUUAUACGUUUGUUUCGACGAAAGAUAUAACGAUAAAGUUACCACAAUGGAUUGUGGCACAUCAACGGCUAAAUAUGUGCUGUUUGCAUUCAACACUGUAGUUGUGGUUGUCGGUCUUUUGGGCAUCGUCUUUGGUGCGCUCAUACUCAACAGCAUCGGUGUAAUCGAGGUUGAUGGCCAUGUCGGUUUCCCGAUACAGGCAGUUUUGCCAAUUAUGCUCAUAACACUCGGUUCAAUUGUGGUAUUCAUCGCAUUCUUGGGCUGUUGUGGUGCCAUACGUGAAUCGGUCUGCAUGACUAUGUGCUAUGCCGUCUUCCUGUUGGUCCUGCUCAUUAUACAGCUAACAAUUGUUGUACUACUAUGGACCAAUAAGGAUAAGUUCAACAGUGCCAUGGGCGAGGUCAUCGAUAAAGCAUGGGAUAGUCGUAGCAAGAAUCCGGCCGUCUUCGAAGCUAUACAAGUUUCAUUGAAAUGUUGCGGCAAGAAUGGCGUCACCGAUUAUGUGUUAUCGCUACAAACGCCACCCGCAAGCUGUUGUGAGCACAAUGACUGCUCGAAUCCAUUAAACUUUUAUGGUGGUUGCCGUAGCAAAUUCCAAGAAUUCAUGUCCUUCAGCACUGACACAGCCAAAUACGUUGGCUUGGGAUUGAUCGCUGUAGAGUUGGUUGGUUUCAUCUUCGCCUGCUGCCUGGCCAAUAACGUGCGCAACUACAAGCGCCGAAACGCCUACUAAGCGUUGAGCCUCGCUCCAUUCGCAAAUGUUCCACACAUUUUUUAUUUUCCGCUUCUUGAUGUCGUGAUGUCGUUAUAAAACGCACAUUUAUUUCGAAAUAUAAAAUAAUAUGCAAUUGUGUUUGAAGUAAACCUUUGAUUUAUGACUGAUAUGAACAAUUGAAAGACAAAAAAUUAUCUAAAUUCACACCUUUAAUGAAUUUAAGUAAAAAGUUUAAACCAAAAUACGCAUUAAAAACCAUAAAAUGGAUAUGAAUACUUAUGUUUCUAAGAAAGCUUACCGAAUAUGCCUGAAAUGAACAAUAUGAGGCCAUGAAUAAACCACUUUUAAUAUACAAAUAUAUAUACCAUAUGUACAUACAUACAUACACACGUUGUACCAAAAAGGAAGUCAAGAAGUUGAAAGAUAUGGCGUAUAUAAGCAACAAAGAAAUCUCAAGAGAAUUUAAGACAAGUUGUAUUGUUCCAAGUGAAUUAAAUAUAUAUGUCUUUAUUAUAAAUGUAAACAAUAAUGUUAUCGACUUGAAUUAAACUCUGCGCGAGAUAAUAUGCAUUCACAGUUUAUUAUUAUUAUAUGUAUUCUAUUGGAUAUAAAUAAAAGUAUAUAUAUAUAUACAGAUAUAGUUAUAUAUGUAAACGUUAGUUACAUUAUCUACAAGUUAUGUUGAAUUAAUGUAUAUUUGAUUUUAUGCCUUUUUACAUGUUGAACUAAAGCGAGUCCGUAGCUUGCAAAUUAUUUACCAUAUAUGUACAUAUAUAUGUAUGCAUGUACAUUUUAAUAUAUAUAUAAUAUACACAUUUACGAAACUACCAUGCAUUUGCAUGCAACGAGCGUUAAUGUGUUCGUCUGUCCUAAAUACAUUCAUACAUACAUAUAUGUAAUCAA